UGGAACUCUUUUGUAUUUUGAGUUAACGCACGUUUUUUCUUCGCGCCAGCAAUGUUUAGAGCAUUCUGUGUAUUCAUCUUUUCUUUUUGGUUCGCCACGGUCCUUUUACCACUUUCACUUUCACUUGCACCUGUGCAACAUUAAAAGGCGGUUAGCUAUC